rnacentral:rRNA from 1 species
UACGGGGGGGGCAAGCGUUGUUCGGAAUUACUGGGCGUAAAGGGUUUGUAGGUGGCUUGUUAAGUCAGACGUGAAAUCCCUCAGCUUAACUGGGGAACUGCGUCUGAUACUGGCGAGCUUGAGUGCAGGAGAGGAACGCGGAAUUCCAGGUGUAGCGGUGAAAUGCGUAGAUAUCGGGAGGAACACCAGUGGCGAAGGCGACUACCUGGCCUGUUCUUGACGCUGAGGCGCGAAAGCUAGGGGAGCAAACGGG